AAGCAAUCUGUUCCUAAAAUUGAAGCCUUGUCUUUUGUGUUACUUAUAAAUAACACAAAAGACAAGGCUUCAAUUUUAGGAACAGAUUGCUUUCCAAAAUU